GAUGAACGCUGGCGGCGUGCCUAAUACAUGCAAGUCGAGCGAACGGACGCGAAGCUUGCUUCUCUGAUGUUAGCGGCGGACGGGUGAGUAGCGCGUGGAUACCCUACCUAUAAGACUGGGAUAACUUCGGGACACCGGAGCUAAUACCGGAUAAUCUUUUGAACCGCAUGGUUCAAAAGUGAAAGACGGUCUUGCUGUCACUUAUCGCUGGAUCCGCGCUGCAUUAGCUAGUUGGUAAGGUAACGGCUUACCACGGCAACGAUGCAUAGCCGACCUGAGAGGGUGAUCGGCCACACUGGAGCGGAGACACGGUCCAGACUCCUACGGGAGGCAGCAGUAGGGAAUCGGCCGCAAUGGGCGGAAGCCUGACGGAGCAGCGCGACGUGAGUGAUGAAGGUCUUCGGAGCGGAAAACUCUGUUAUUAGGGAAGAACAGAUGUGGAAGGAACUGAGCACAUCGUGACGGUACCUAAUCAGAAAGCCACGGCUAACUACGUG
rnacentral:rRNA from 1 species